GACAGAGGGUGCAAACGUUGUUCGGAAUUACUGGGCGUAAAGCGCGUGUAGGCGGCCCUGCAAGUCGGAUGUGAAAUCCCACGGCUCAACCGUGAAGUGCAUUCGAAACUGCAGGGCUAGAGUCCUGGAGAGGAAGGUGGAAUGCUUGGUGUAGAGGUGAAAUUCGUAGAUAUCAAGCGGAACACCGGUGGCGAAGGCGGCCUUCUGGACAGUGACUGACGCUGAGACGGCGAAAGCGUGGGGAGCAAACAGGG
rnacentral:rRNA from 1 species